rnacentral:misc_RNA from 1 species
CGAACUCUUUCAUGCAUGGUAUCUGAUAUAAUGAUCAAGUUCCGCUCAAGCUCCUGAAGAAAAGGAUCAAUUCCAGAAGAUGAUGGCUCCCCAGCGUACAAACCAUUCCACAAAACAUGACUCGAAUCAUGAAAAACAAUUUUAUAAGCCAGUGCCUCACUGAGUUGUUGAACUCCUUCCACACAAGCAGAUGGUGUAAGUUCAAACUUCUUUGCCAAGCCAUUUGAAAAGUCUUCUGUAUGAGCUGAUUCAGAGUUCCUUAGAUGAG